rnacentral:rRNA from 1 species
UGAGCAACCUGCCCCUGGCUCUGGGAUAACCCUGGGAAACCGGAGCUAAUACCGGACACGAGACCGAUUGGCAUCUUUACGGUCUGGAAAGUUUUUCGGCCAGGGAUGGGCUCGCGGCCUAUCAGCUUGUUGGUGGGGUAACGGCCCACCAAGGCGACGACGGGUAGCCGGCCUGAGAGGGCGACCGGCCACACUGGGACUGAGACACGGCCCAGACUCCUACGGGAGGCA